rnacentral:RNase_P_RNA from 1 species
CAAGAAAUACGGACAAUCGCGCUUUUGUGAGGAAAGUCCGGACUUUAACGGGACAGAAUAGUGGGUAACGCCCACCUGGGGUGACCCAAGGACAAGUGCCACAGAGACGAGCUUAUUAAAUUAAGGUGAAACGCGGUAAACUCUAUUCAAAGCAAGACCAAACGAGAAGCAACGGGUGUCCCAACCGCUUCGUGGUAGGUCGCAAAGAAAUUACAGGCAACUGUAAUUCAAGAUAAAUGAUUGUCGCAAGCUUUGCUUGUACAGAAUCCGGCUUAUAGUAUUUCUUAAUUA